CCUACGUGAGGCAGCAGUGGGGAAUAUUGGGCAAUGGACGAAACUCUGACCCAGCAAUGCCGCGUGAAUGAAGAAGGUCUUCGGAUUGUAAAGCUCUUUUGUCAGGGAAGAAUAAAAUGACGAUUCCUGAAGAAUAAGCUCCGGCUAACUACGUGCCAGCAGCCGCCGUAAUACCUAGGGAGCAAGCGUUGUUCGGAAUGACUGGGCGGAAAGGGUGCGUAGGGGGGUAUGCAAGUUAGCAGGGGAAUACCCUGGGCUUAACUCGGGAGCUGCUUCUGAAACUGUAAGACUUGAGUGCAGUAGAGGUGAGUGGAAUGCCUGGUGUAGCGGUGGAAUGCGUAGAUAUUAGGAGGAACACCAGAGGCGAAGGCGGCUAACUGGACUGCAACUGACGCUGAGGCACGAAAGUGUGGGGAGCAAACAGGAUUAGAUACCCGAGUAGUC
rnacentral:rRNA from 1 species